rnacentral:tRNA from 1 species
GCCCAUGUGGCUCAGUGGCUAGAGCGUCAGCCUUUGGCUGAAGGGGCCCGGGUUCGAUUCCGGUCAAGGGCA